UACGAAGGGGGCUAGCGUUGCUCGGAAUUACUGGGCGUAAAGGGCGCGUAGGCGGGUCGUUUAGUUAGAGGUGAAAGCCCAGGGCUCAACCCUGGAAUUGCCUUUAAUACUGGCGGCCUUGAGUAUGGCAGAGGUGUGUGGAACUCCGAGUGUAGAGGUGAAAUUCGUAGAUAUUCGGGAGAACACCAGUGGCGAAGGCGACUCACUGGACACGUAUUGACGCUGAGGUGCGAAAGCGUGGGGAGCAAACAGG
rnacentral:rRNA from 1 species